UACGUAGGGGGCUAGCGUUGUCCGGAAUCAUUGGGCGUAAAGCGCGCGUAGGCGGCCAGAUAAGUCCGGUGUGAAAGUCACAGGCUCAACCUGUGAAUGCCGCUGGAAACUGUCUGGCUAGAGUCCGGAAGGGGCGAGUGGAAUUCCUGGUGUAGCGGUGAAAUGCGCAGAUAUCAGGAGGAACACCAAUGGCGAAGGCAGCUCGCUGGGACGGUACUGACGCUGGAGGCGCGAAAGCGUGGGGAGCGAACAGG
rnacentral:rRNA from 1 species